rnacentral:rRNA from 1 species
AUUGAACGCUGGCGGAAUGCUUUACACAUGCAAGUCGAGCGGCAGCGCGGGGGCAACCCUGGCGGCGAGCGGCGAACGGGUGAGUAAUACAUCGGAACGUACCCAGUUGUGGGGGACAACACAUCGAAAGAUGUGCUAAUACCGCAUACGACCUACGGGUGAAAGGGGGGGAUCGCAAGACCUCUCGCAGUUGGAGCGGCCGAUGGCGGAUUAGCUAGUUGGUGAGGUAAAGGCUCACCAAGGCGACGAUCCGUAGCUGGUCUGAGAGGACGACCAGCCACACUGGGACUGGGACACGGCCCAGACUCCUACGGGAAGCAGCAGUGGGGAAUUUUGGACAAUGGGGGCAACCCUGAUCCAGCCAUUCCGCGUGAGUGAAGAAGGCCUUCGGGUUGUAAAGCUCUUUCGGCAGGAACGAAACGGUGGGGGCUAAUAUCCUUCAUCAAUGACGGUACCUGAAGAAGAAGCACCGGCUAACUACGUGCCAGCAGCCGCCGUAA